rnacentral:rRNA from 1 species
ACGAACGCUGGCGGUGUGCUUAACCCCUGCAAGUCGAACGGUAAGGCCCUUUCGGGGGUACACGAGUGGCGAACGGGUGAGUAACACGUGAGUAACCUGCCCUCAUCUCUGGUAUAACAUUCGGUAACGGUUGCUAAUACUGGAUCUGAGCUUGCAAGGCAUCUUGUGGUUUGGAAAGUUUUUUUUUGGUUGGGGAUGGACUCGCGGCCUAUCAGCUUGUUGGUGAGGUAGUGGCUCACAAAGGCUUCGACGGGUAGCCGGCCUGAGAGGGGGACCGGCCACAUUGGGACUGAGAUACGGCCCAAACUCCUACGGGAGGCAGCAAUGGGGAAUAUUGCACAAUGGACGGAAGUCUGAUGCAGCAACGCCGCGUGCGGGAUGACGGCCUUCGGGUUGUAAACCGCGUUAAAUUGUGACGAAGCUUUUUUGUGACGGUAGCAGUAGAAGAAGCACCGGCUAACUACGUG